GGCCAGACUCCUACGGGAGGCAGCAGUGGGGGAUAUUGCACAAUGGGGGAAACCCUGAUGCAGCGACGCCGCGUGUAGGAAGACGGUCCUCUGGAUUGUAAAACACUGUCCCCAGGGACGAAGAUGACGGUACCUGGGGAGGAAGCUCCGGCUAACUACGUGCCAGCAGCCGCGGUAAUACGUAGGGGGCAAGCGUUAUCCGGAUUUACUGGGUGUAAAGGGAGCGUAGACGGCGGCGCAAGUCCGGAGUGAAAGCCCACGGCCCAACCGUGGGACUGCUCUGGAAACUGUGCGGCUUGAGUGCGGGAGGGGCAGGCGGAAUACGUGGUGUAGCGGUGAAAUGCAUAGAUAUCACGCAGAACUCCGAUUGCGAAGGCAGCAUACCGGCGCCCAACUGACGCUGAAGCACGAAAGCGUGGGUAUCGAACAGGAUUAGAUACCCCGGUAG
rnacentral:rRNA from 1 species